UUUGAUCAUGGCUCAGGACGAACGCUGGCGGCGUGCUUAACACAUGCAAGUCGAACGAUGAACCAUUUCGGUGGGGAUUAGUGGCGAACGGGUGAGUAACACGUGGGCAAUCUGCCCUUCACUCUGGGACAAGCCCUGGAAACGGGGUCUAAUACCGGAUGAUACUUCUGCAGGCAUCUGUGGGGGUUGAAAGCUCCGGCGGUGAAGGAUGAGCCCGCGGCCUAUCAGCUUGUUGGUGAGGUAGUGGCUCACCAAGGCGACGACGGGUAGCCGGCCUGAGAGGGCGACCGGCCACACUGGGACUGAGACACGGCCCAGACUCCUACGGGAGGCAGCAGUGGGGAAUAUUGCACAAUGGGCGAAAGCCUGAUGCAGCGACGCCGCGUGAGGGAUGACGGCCUUCGGGUUGUA
rnacentral:rRNA from 1 species